GUUGUGGCCGAGUGGUCAAGGCGAUUGACUAGAAAUCCAUCCCCUAGCUGGUUUGAAUCCUGUUGAUAACA
rnacentral:tRNA from 14 species